ACCGGUCGUCACGGGUCAACUCUCAUCGUCUCUACGUCCUCGUGAUAGCCAAUUGGAUAGUUGUUUCGGCUCGUGAAAGGCUCGUAUAACUCGAAGUGAAAUCGGUGGAGGAAAACGAAGACGAGCUACUACUAUCCUUCCCGAUUCCACGGAAGCGAUUACCAACCCGACCUAACCGCCGCCUAAUUCAGCCUCCCAUUGACUUGGCACCGAUUACCACCGAGCCUCGAGUGUAACAUAACCACGGCUUUCACUUUCGAUACCCGUUACACGGUUGCGGAUCCACGUUCCACGCCAUCGAGAAACGAUUCCCGCCACCUGGGGGGAGGGAAAUCGUCGUCCCUCCAGCCUUUUAAACCGUGAAAGCAACGAUGCGAUCAGGAAGGAAUGAAUCGAAGAGAGGGAAGAGUUACUCGUGAAUGAAGAUGCGCCAAGAAUAGAACCGGUCGUGGGUUCAGCGGCUGAAUGACGAUGAUACUAUUACAACCGGUUCCGCGGUCAGUGUACCGUGUAACGAGACUUCUUGCCGCAUGAAUGGAGCGCGUAAGAAGGGCAAAGCCGAUUCGACGUUCCUUCUCUACGAACCAUUGGUUGGCUCGAGGAAAAAGAAAAGAAAAGAAAAGAAAAGAGAAGAAAAGGACAGUGACAUUGAACGUCGAUAGAACUGACAUCAGAAUCCGAUCGGCUUUCGAUUUUCCUCCAGCUUUUAGCGACUCUAUACUUCGCGAAAAGAUAUACCGUCACCGCCGCGUUAUUCUCGAAGAAUAGAAGCUCUGAGUUACUCGCGUAUCCCGGAGAAACGAUUCCCAAAGGGGAAAAGUCGAUGGAAAACUACGCACUCUAUGCAAAAAGUCCGAAAAUUGCAUUGCGAAAAAGAUGGAUGGAAUAUCGCGGUUCAAGAGAGCGAUAUAUGGAAGGCUGACGAUGGAAGGUGAGGAAAAAGCGCGAAUACGUUUCGUUUCGUUACACCCCACGAAAUAAUCACCAACCCCGUGGUGGAUACUCACAAAGGCCUUCAUGUUUGGUGUGUGUAUGGUGGGCUGGUAGUCCGGUGAUUGACUGACUUGGGCCGGGCCGGCGGGCCUUAUAUACGCCUAACUCUACUCUGGCUACGCUCCACAAUCACCAUCCUUUCGAAAGCAAGGCGCUCCACCACCCUCCCCCCAGAAAAACUAUAAUCCACGCCGUACCAGCGGCCGGCGCAGAGCCAUACCUAGUCCCACCAGCUUGGUUUAGGGGGCGAAAGAGGGGACCCCUCCCUCCCCUCGCUUUUGCCCAUAGGUUGUGAGCUUGUUCGCGGGUAUUCCACGGCUUCGUCCACGGCAGGGAGUAGUGCAGCCUCCUACUCCACCCGCCCCACCAUCUUGGCCUACACACCAAGUGCAACGCCAGGCACCACCCGGGUUACCUGGUCACCACGAUACCCAACUCUCUCGUGUCCAGGCGUGGUGCACGAGGCGUGCAACGGUUGCACGACACCGGUGCUUAGGAGUCGUAAUCCGCCCGAUUCCCUGACCUCUUCCUCUUUCCCGCACAGGUGCACUCUGUGUGAGGAUGGCAUCGAUCGAGAUCGAGGGUGUGUUUUUCUUUUUCCCUCUUUUUCGAAACUCUUUGAAUUUAUUUUACUCGCAGAGAAUAUUCUUCUCCAGAGAGGAGUAGCUUUCACUCUCGACGUGCAAUCCAGGAAUCGGAGAAAAGUACGUGUUUUUAUCUAAAGAAAGAAAGAAAGAUUGUCGAAAGGAUGGAGAUACGACCCUUUCGAUUAUUCAUAUUCUAUCCUUCCCGAUUAAAAAUAUUUGUAUCUGAAAUAUAAAAGGAAAUAUUUAUGGUGUUUAAUGACGCAAUCGUGUGUGCCAAGGAAACGAGGAUCGAUCAGCUGAUCCGCGAUUGCACGUUCAAUUUUCUUUUCUUUUUUUUUUUUUUUAGCUCUUCAAGCCAAUAAUGACAUAAGAAACGAGAGACAUUAAAAAACAAAAGUGGAAACAGGCAGCAGGCAUUCCUGUUAACACAGUCGCAGGAAGUUUCGAUUGCAACAGCGUGAGAUUUAGCCCUGAAAAGCGUGCAAUUUCUCACGAUCUCUCGUAAAGAAGUAAAAGUGCGGAAUUAACCGUGCAAAACUCUAAUUGAAAUUUCGCGAAGACGACAAGAGCAAGGAUGACCUCGUAGAUCUCGAUUCGAGAUCCCAUUAAACCAGCUCCAUCUCUUAGCUCGCCGAGAAAGGAUAAUAAAGAGGAGAGUGUGCGAGAAAGAAAGAGAGAGAAAGAGCGAGAGGAAAUGACGGCAAAUCUAAGAAUGGUGAAGCGCUUGGACCAGAUUAUGACCCAGGUCAUUACCUGGAAACCUCGCGUCGAGAAGGAGCGUGGAACGCUUUUCUAAAAGAGUUAGGAAUUACGGGCCAUUGAAUGGCCUUAAGAAACCUGAAUUCUUUUCUAAAUAGAUUGGCUGCCGCCGCUUGUUACUUAUUACCUCAACCUACUAAUUCCCAUUGGCAUGGUGUACAACCGGCUGCAACUUGGAAACAGGAUCGAGAGAAAGGGGUUGCCCCUCGAUUACGAAUUACGCCAAUUCGUCAGAUUUCAAUAUUCACGUUUCUUUUUCUUUUAAUCGAACUCGAUUAUUCCUGACGAACGAUGUCUCUCUCGUUGCAACGAGAGAACGUGGACAGGUUGGAAGCGUAGGAACGCGUGUUACGUAUAGGGAACAAGGACACGCGGUUAAUUAUUAGGAGAAAUUCAGUUUGCAAAAUUGGCCCAUUACCGGAGCCCACGUUUUUCAUCCAUCCUCUAACGACGUAAUCCGACGUAAUGCUCGUCUAGAUCAACCGGCGGCAUCGAUCCCAUGUUCGCAGUUGCCGAACAAAGAGAAGAUUUGCUACCUCCUCCUCCAUCUAGAAAUUCUUCGCGAUAUAUUUACAAAGAUAACAUUAUACCGGUUCUUCUUCUUCUUCUUCUUCUUCUUCUUCUUCUCGCGAGCCGAGCCGAGCUCGAUCUACAUAAUUGUGCAACCGUUGAUCACCGAUCCACCCGCUGUUUACCAAAGAAAAAUCCCUCCGUUCUAUCCCUCGGCUGUUGAUAAAACGGUCUUAAGCGGUACGCUUCGAUAAGCGGCUUUUGUUGUAUCGCGCGCCAUUAUCUUCCCUUAUCGUGAUUAUUCCACGCUAACCGAGGCGUCUGAUUAAGGGCAACGGGAGAUAUCAGGCGUGAGAAAGGGAGAUGGAAGUGGAGAAGCGGAAGAAGGGAAGAAAGAGAGAGAGGAGGAAUACGAGAGGAAGAGAGAGACACGAUUAAAUCAUACUUUUUAAUUAAACCACGCUUCCGAAAUGACUCCUCAUACGUGAGCGUAUAACACAGCCGGCUAGUUUUCCGCCUCGUGUGCAAAGUGAAAGCCAUUAUAUUAUUUGGCGUACGCGAAAAAUUCGCCGAUCUAUUCGCGAAAGUCGCCCGCGCACCGUAUCUUUUCUCGCUAGCCCUGACCGGUUUCGAAUAUAUAUAUAUAAAAGCCGUAGCGGCGGCUCUACUCGCCUCUUUUCGCUCUUGGCCACCCUCGAAACUUGGAUCGAUCGAUCGCCAAUUAGACACGCGUCUCUCUUACGAGAAAUACG
rnacentral:lncRNA from 1 species